rnacentral:rRNA from 1 species
AUUGAACGCUGGCGGAAUGCUUUACACAUGCAAGUCGAACGGUAGAGGGGGCAACCCCCUUGAGAGUGGCGAACGGGUGAGUAAUAUAUCGGAACGUGCCCAGUCGUGGGGGAUAACGUAGCCGAAAGUUACGCUAAUACCGCAUACGAUCUAAGGAUGAAAGCGGGGGAUCGCAAGACCUCGCGCGAUUGGAGCGGCCGAUAUCAGAUUAGGUAGUUGGUGAGUAAAGGCUCACCAAGCCAACGAUCUGUAGCUGGUCUGAGAGGACGACCAGCCACACUGGAACUGA